GCAGUCGAUCAGGCGAUCGCUGCGUCCUGGUGUGGUGUAUACCGCAUCGGGGCGGAGAGGAAAGUCCGAACUCCACAGGGCAGUGCGCCGGGUAACUCCCGGGCGGGGCAACCCGACGGACCAGUGGCACAGAAAAUAUACCGCCUUUCGACUCGGGCCCUGCGGGCCCUCGCUCAAGGCAGGCCUUUGGGGCUCAGCAGGCUCGAGGCAGGGCUUGGGGUUCAGCGGUGAGUCCUGACGAUGGACUUGCCCGGACGCGAGACAGGGUGAGUCCUGACGAUGGACUUGCCCGGACGCGAGACAGGGUGAGUCCUGACGAUGGGCUUGCCCGGACGCGAGACAGGGUGAGUCCUGACGAUGGGCCUGCCCUGAGCGAGGGCCCGCAGGGCCCGAGUCGAAGGGUAAGGGUGAAAAGGUGCGGUAAGAGCGCACCGCGUCGCCGGCAACGGCGAUGGCAGGCAAAACCCCGCACGGAGCAAGACCAAAUAGGGAGGCGCCUGAGGACGGCCCGUCCGAAGCCUCCGGGUAGGUCGCUCGAGGCCGCCAGUGAUGGCGGCCCUAGAGGAAUGAUCGCCACGGCCGAUACCUUCGGGGAUCGGCCGGACAGGAUUCGGCUUAUCGGCCGAUUGCGGCG
rnacentral:RNase_P_RNA from 1 species